rnacentral:lncRNA from 1 species
GAAAGCUUAGAACAAAAAAAUGGCAGAACUAGGAUGAGAAAAAGACUUACCUACAACCUUCCAAGGCAAGAAAGCAGUGAGUUCAAGGUUUUGCUUGGUUUCUCAUUGCUUCUGAGGGCUGUCAGGGGUCUCAUUCAGUUCCCUCUUCUGAUACUAAAACUAUUAAAGGUAAACUGAGGUAUAUUAAAUAUUUGAGAGUUUGAGCAAAAAUUAAUCUGAACCUGGCAGGAAGAGCUAUAAAAUGAAAAACUUUUAUAGGUAGAAAGGAGUAAGAACAGGAAGUUACUAUACUAGGCAAAAAAGAAGGUUGGUUUUUUGCAAGGUUACUUUUCUUUCAGGGAUGGCAAGUGUCUAUUAGGCAGAUUACCUAAUAGUGCUGAUCAGGUGAGUACUAAUUGAAUCAUUUAAGAUUCCAUUUCUGGGAGAGCCGAAACUGUAGGUCUUGGUCUUGUGACAUUGGACUUAGCAUAAAUGACUCCAUUUUGGGCCCAUUGUCUUUUUUGUUGUUAUUGGGGUUUGUUUUUGUUUUAUAGAGAGAGAGGGAAGGAGAGGAGAGGAGAGGGGAGGGCAGGAGAGGAGAGGAAGGGGAAGAGGAGGUGGGAAUCUUAAGCAGGCUCAAUGCCCAGCACAGAGCUCCAUGUGGGGCUCAGUCCCAGAACUCUGAGAUGAAAUCAAGGCCUGAGCUGAAAGCAAGAGUCAGAUGCUUAGCUGACUGAGCCACCCAGGUGCCCUUUUAUUUUUGAUGUUAUUUAAAAAGAACCCUAUUGCUACAUAAUUUCAUUGAUUCCCAAAUUGAUGUCUCACUCAGAUUCUACUCCAAAGCUGAGCUCUGCAUGUGCAAAUUUCUGCAGAAUGUCUCCACUUGGAAAUCCUCGCACUUACCAGCAGAGGGGCAAGCUGACCUUACAGAAACACAUUACCCAGGACUCUUCCAGUUGUAGUUUCCAACUCAUGCUAGUAAUUUCCAUGACAGCUAAAGGAAAAACCAAAAGGAAACUGAAUGACUCAUCUUGGGGGUCAAAUAAGGUAAGCCAAUUCUCUAAGCCUUUAGGUUCUGCUGUCCUCUUUCCUUGGAUCCAUUCUCAGACUGAUCCUCUUCACACUGUAGUCCCAAGAAGCUUAUGUCAUAAUGGUCUUCAGCGUUCAAGAUCUCUCAAUGAGAGAUUCAGAAUUUAUAGGUCAUAGAAAAACCCCACCAAAAAAUAACAAUUCUGAUAGACUCUACUUGGACCAAUCACUUAUGCAGGCAGUAGAACACUUUCGUAGAUGAGGAAGAUCCAAAGAGACGCAGAACCACAUGGUUGACAGUUCCACUAGUAUGAUAUAAAGUGGUAAGUGCAGUUCUCUAGGAAAAGAGGGGUUCUGUUAUUAGAAGGGAACAUUGGCCAGGACAGAAACAAUGCUCAGUACAGAAGGCAAAAUAGUUGAAGGUAGGUAAGAGAGGGAGUCAUUUUUCCUGCCAUUAAUCCUUUAUCUCUAGGGAAGAGUUUUUUUAAAUGAUCUUAUUUAUUCACGAGAAACACACAGAGAGAGGCAGAGCAGGUAGAGGGAGAAGCAGGCUACCUCAAGGGAGCCUGAUGCAGGACUCCAUCCAGGACUCUGGGAUCACAACCUGAGCUGAAGGCAGAUUCCUAACCACUGAGCCACCCAGGUGCCCCUUUAGGGAAGUUUUAUCUGAAAGUUUG